rnacentral:lncRNA from 1 species
ACUAGCCCAAUGGGGGAAGGGUGGCUCUCCCUUUUAAAGUGGCUUCCUCCUCCCAAGUUAAGCGAGGUGGGAUAAUUUUGAGGCUCACACGGUCACCGUCCGACUACAAUUGGGCCAACUGGGCCAAUUGCGUAUUUGCCAACGGGUAAUAGUGGAGGAUGUCCUCAUCAUUCCCACCUUCUUAAAAUGGGCCCUAGCUCUGAUACCAGAUGAUGCACCUAGCCCAGUUGGGGUUGGCCGAGGUCCAACAAAUUAGGGUUGUCUAGAGCCCAACAGUUCAUUAAGCACACCCAACUCAGGGAAAGGCCCAAUCGCCCCAAAAGACUAGCCCAAUGGGGGAAGGGUGGCUCUCCCUUUUAAAGUGGCUUCCUCCUCCCAAGAUAAGUGAGGUGGGAUAAUUCUGAGGCUCACACGGUCACCGUCCGACUACAAUUGGGCCAACUGGGCCAAUUGCGUCUUUGCCAACAGGUAAUAGUGGAGGAUGUCCUCAUCAGCAUCCCCUUGGGAACAACUUUGGAGCUUCUUCACCUUUGACUUAGAUGGCAUUUAAGCUCUGCAUCCCCUUAGGAACGACUUUGGAGCUUCUUCACCUUUGAUUUAGGUGGCAUCUUAGCUCUGCAUUCCCUUAGGAACGACUUUUGAGCUUUAGAGCUUACUCUGCGCUCCCUUAGGAACGACUUUUGAGCUUCAAAACUUAGUUUUGUCACACCCGAUGGUGUAACCAUAGGUUUAUUACAUCGAGCUGAAGGUUAAACCUUCAUGUAUUGUCUUUUGUGAUGGAAAUAUAAAAGGCAAAAAAGAGUAGAAAUGGAACAAAUCAGAGCUUUCUUUUGGUCAAAACAUUGUGUCAUCUUCAGUAGAUAUGCCUGGAUUCGGGCACAGUGCAAUUAACUAUGAGAGCUUCAGACUGCUGAGGUCGAAGAUGCCCUUUUGGCUGCUGAUCAUGACUUGUUGAAGCUGCAGAAGUCGUAGGCUAUUGGUUGCCUACGUAUUCCAGGAUGUAUGGAGAGUAGCACGAACCAGUAUGGAGGACCUGCUUCGGCUGAUUCUUACGUGCCUCGGCUUCAGCGAUUUCCUUUUGCUUUUGGAUCGUGACCUAGCAUGUCCUCGUUGUGUGACCCUUGUCCUCGCCACAGAAAAGGCAGAAGAACUUCCUAGGCUGAUUACCGAACCUUCCUCCACUGAAGCUUCUUCCUCCUGCCUCUCGGAGCUGGCGGUCUGUAAGAAGUUUGCUGCAUGCCCGAAGACUGUGAGCUAUGAUGACUGCUCUGAGUAUUGUUGGUCCUUUCAUCGUUGGCAUUGGAAUUAUGGAUUGACCUAACAUGCCUGGGAUGAAGUCUUCCUCCGAAGCCCCUAGUCAUUUCAGAAAACUUGUAUGCUUCCUCCCUUCUUUGGCGGAAAUCAUUAUCAGCCCGGAUGUAUUCAUCCAUCUUUUGAAGGAGUUUUUCCAAGGUCUGUGGUGGCUUCCUUGCAAAAUAUUGGGCUGUAGGUCCUGGCUGAAGCCCCUUGAUCAUGGCCUCAAUAACAAUUUCAUUAGGCACUGUAGGCGCUUGAGCUCUCAAACGCAGGAACCUUCGGACGUACGCCUGCAGGUACUCCUCAUGGUCUUGCGUGCAUUGAAACAAGGCCUGAGCAGUGACUGGCUUCGUCUGAAAGCCCUGGAAGCUGGUGACUAGCAUGUCCUUCAGCUUCUGCCAUGAUGUGAUUGUCCCUGGCCAAAGAGAGGAAUACCAUGUCUAGGCCACGCUUCUGACUGCCGUGACGAAGGACUUUGCCAUGACAGCAGCGUUACCCCCAUACGAGGAUAUUGUUGCCUCGUAGCUCAUCAGAAAUUGCUUUGGAUCCGAAUGCCCAUCAUACAUGGGUAACUGAGGUGGCUUGUAGGACUAUGGCCAUGGGGUAGCCUGCAAUUCUACUGCCAGAGGAGAAGCAUCAUCGAAAGUAAGUUACCAUGAUGGAAGUUGUCGUACCAUUCAUCUUCGUUGAAUGGGCUUUCCUGAUGAAGCUCCCUGUGCUGAGGCCUUCGGUCCUGGUCUUCUUGAGUAAGAUGACGCAUCUCCUCAGCUGCUUCGUCAAUCUUCUUCUGAAGGUUGGCCAGCCGGAGCAUUUUCUCCUUUUUCCUUUGUACUUGCUGAUGGAUUGCUUCUAAAUUCCUGAUCUCCUGGUCAAUCUUCUCCUCAUGAAGAGUCGGGUUGGUGGCCUUUCUAUUUUGGCUCCUAGCCUCUCACAGGGAGAGUGUGUCCUAAUUUGUGUCCAGUGGCUGCAGGGCAGCCCCUGGCACCGUUGCCUUUUUCAGUGGCAUGACGAAGGUGAAUGCUUGCUGAAGGUUGUGGAAGUGAAUUCACUGGAGGUGGGCGCUGUUGGGACGAAGGCGAACACGCCACCCUUCGCUCCACGACUUCCACCUCUCAUUGCAUAGAUGAAGAUCACGCUCGCAAGUCCCACCGGAUAGGCCAAGGGUGCAGACCAGAUGGAGGCCCGCUCGACCCCCUUCGCUCCGAUGAGACAAGACGAAGGCCCCGCCGAACACCCCGGGACCUCCCACUGCCUCACCACGGAGAGAGGCCCAUGUACGGUUCAGCCCACAAAGCUAGGCCUCGCGUGGACAUGUGUGCAUUAGGCCAUGUCUGUAAUAAAGUAUACUGUAAUGACUGUCUGUAACCACCCUCAUGGGAAUAUUCUGGGCAUAUAAACUAGGUAAUCAAGGGUCUAAAUGUCUUUGACAGGGACAGGUAGCCCCUCGAGCACCUAUAAAUACCCCCGUACUUUGCCCAAGCACAGGGAGAUUAACAUGGCUUUUGACAUCCCAUGUUAGCGUCACAAAAUUUCUUCCCAAUUUCCUAUUGGAUCAACCUGUCUUGAAGGGUAGGUUCCAACAUUUGGCACCCACCGUUCAUGCGACGAAAAAACAACCCGCGAUGGCCCCCAAGAGAUCAACUUCGAAGGCUGCCACAUCCAUUAACGACGCAGCGAAGGCGGCACUACUGGCGGAGAAGAAAGGCAAGGCCCUCGCGGACACCACCCCCCAAGAGGCCUUCGAAGAGGACGCUGUCAACAGCAAGAGACAACGCCAGGACCACCCCACCCCGGACGGCACUGUGCGCACCUGCAGUUCUGAGGGCGCACCACAAGCACCACCACCAGGCUUCGCUCCACCAGAGGGCAAAGACACCAUAGAGGACAGAGAAAUCAUCGGCAUCUCAGCCGAAUACCAGCUAAAGCUACGAGCUCUAUGCAUCAAAAACAACCACCUGUAGAAGCAGAAAGAAAUCCUCGAAGCCAAGCGCCAACGAGUCACCAUGCAAGCCAAGGUGCGUCAAAUGAUACAAGAUGAGGAGCAGAGAGCUCGGGAGCUAGAGAAAGAGAUCGCGCUCAUGCAAGGCGAAGGACAAUACAACCUGCAGCGCGAACCCCUCGCACCGCUAGUGCCUCUCCAGCAAUACAUUCAAGCCGGAGACCCAAUCCAACCACAGCGCGACCCCUUCAUUCCACCAGGUGCCGAUUUCCAGGGGAUCAACUAUCUCGACGAGCGAAGUCCUCUGGCUCCAUAGCUCCAAGCAUCACCCUGGCCCGCCAACUUCAGGGCCGGUAGCUACCCCAAAUACAACGGCAGCACUGACCUGGCUCAGUACAUCAAGAUCUACCAGGUCACUGUCGCAUCAUCUGGAGGGGACGACGCCACCAUGGCCAAAUCCUUCAUCAUCGCACUCGAAGGCCCGACCUUGACUUGGUACACCAGGUUACCGCCACUGUCCAUCGAGUCCUAGAAAGGGCUUCGCGAUAAGUUCAUGUUCAAAUUUUAAGGGUACCGACCCGACACAGACGCCCUGGCCGAGUUAUCCCUCUGCAAGAAUCAGGAAAAGGAAACCCUUCGCGAAUAUUACAGAAACUUCUUGACGCUCAAAUCGCAACUACCAUCAGUUGACGACCACAUAGCGAUCCACUACACCAUUAGUGGUCUUCGGGCAGGCGUCCUGUAUAGUCAUUGCAUCAGGGACCCACCCAAGAACCUACAGGAGCUAUACCAACUAUUUGAGAAGUAUGCUAGGUCUGAGGAGCUCCAUCAACGCAAGGCUGAAUCUCAGAGGAAGCCCAAGGACCCUCCAUAGUCUAGCAGAACCUGGACUAGGCCAGCGCAGUCAGACUCCGACAGGGACAAUCACAAUCAUCAGCAGGUGCACACCUUAGCCAAUCAGCACCUAGCCGGAGAGCCCACCCGUCGUUAGGAAUACCCCCUCAAGGCUGCAGCAACGGCGCAAUAGGAAGAGGCCGAGGACGGACACAACAGCCGUGAAGAUUCUAUUGCUUGUUUCACGGCGAAGACUACACGCAUCCAACAAGGGACUGUCCGGAGACUAAGGCAACCAAGGACAGAAUGUCCAGAGCUCAACCAGCCGACAACCAGCGGGUCGUCGCGCACACUUAACAUCACCAACAACCUUACCACAACGAGCAAAUCCAGCAUCCACCCAACCAUUUUUCUGCACGCCUUCGAUCGUAUGGGAAUCAACCACAGCCUCCUCAAGCUUGCAGAUAAUCCCAUCUACGGAUUCGGCGACAAGGGCACUUUCCUGUCGGCAAGAUAGAGCUCCCCCUAUCAUUUGGUGUAGCACCUAGCGCGCGGAGUGAGCAGGUCACAUUCGACAUUGUUGACAUGGUCUACCCAUACAAUGCCAUAAUGGGGCGUGGCUCGAUCAACAAUUUUGAGGCGGCCAUUCAUCGGCUCUACCUCUGUAUGAAAAUCCCAGGCCCAUAGGGCAUGAUCACUGUCUACGGCGACCAACAGACAGCGCGCAACAUCGAAAGAGACUUCGUUCUAGGGCAACGAAACGUACACUGCCUCACGGCAGAGCGUGAAGGCUUCUAGAGCACUCGCCCAGUCGAAGACGAAAAAGUCAAGGCCCAGCUCCAAAGCAACAAUGGGACGAAGGCAGUACCUCUCGACCCAGCAACGUCGAAGCAAACAGUAAUAAUCAGUGAAGACCUAACAUUGCGAGACAAGGAAAAACUCCUUUCUUGUCUCUCUCGUAACAAGGAUGUCUUCGCCUGGACCACCCUCGAUCUGGUUGGGGUCAGCCGCUCCAUCAUCGAACACAGCCUGGGCAUUGACCCCUCGGUGCGCCCAAAAAAACAGCGACUACAAAAAAUGUUCGACGAGAAAACGGAGGCAGCCAAGGCCGAAGUGCAUCGCCUGUUGGAAGCCAGAUUCAUCGAGCCAAUCGCUUAUGCUACAUGGCUCACCAACGUGGUCAUGGUGCAGAAGAAGAGCGGCAAAUGGUGUAUGUGCAUCAACUUCACAAGCCUCAAUAAGGCUUGCCCCAAGGACAAUUUCCCUCUGUCACGAAUUGACAAAAUUGUCGACAACGCAGCAGGCUGCUAAGUCAUGUCCCUCCUAGAUUGCUUCUCGGGCUACCACCAGAUUUACAUGAAAGAGGAGGACAAGGCAAGUACAAGCUUCAUCACACUCUUCGACACGUACUGUUUCGUACGAAUGCCUGAGGGACUCAAGAACGCCGGCUCAACCUUUUCUUGCCUCACCAAGAAGGUCCUUGAAAACCAAGUAGGCCACAACAUCUUCACUUAUGUAGACGACAUUGUCGUUGCAAGCAAAAGCAAAGAGGACCACCUGGCCGAUCUCGCAGAGACAUUCGCUAACAUGCGCGAUGCACGACUCCGGCUCAACCCUGAGAUGUGUGUCUUCGAGGUACACCAGGGGAAAAUACUUGGUUACCUAGUAUCACACCGAGGAUCGAGGUCAACCCAACAAAGAUCCAAGCAAUCAUCAACAUGGCACCUCCUUAGUCCACAAAAGACGUCCAGCGACUGAUAGGAAGAUUGGCGGCCCUGAACAGAUUCAUCUCUAAGUCCGCUGGGCGAAGUCUACCCUUCCUCAAAACGUUGUGUGGUGCGAAAGACUUCGUUUGGGGUCCAUAGCAGGCAGCGGCCUUCGAGUCGCUCAAACAACACCUUCUGACUUAGCAACUCUAACAAGUCCUGACCCUUCGCUUCUACUACUUCUCUACAUUGCGGCUUCACACUGCGCAAUCAGUGCAGCAUUAGUCCAAGAGCAGGACAGAGAUGGCAAAAACCGGCAAUGUCUGAGGUACUACGUCUCUGAAGUCCUCACAACCUUUAAGUGCAACAUGACCGAGCUCGAGAAAAUUUCAUACGCAGUGGUCAUGGCUUCGCGCAAGCUAAGACACUACUUCGAGGCAUUCAAAGUACAAGUCACUUUGGACAGGGGUCUUGGAGAAUUGUUCAAGAACCCAGAGGCGUCAGCCAGAAUCGCAAAAUGGGCAACCGAACUGUCCGGGUACCACAUCAUUUUUGAGCCCAGAACAGCAAUCAAGUCGCAAGUCUUGGCGGACUUCAUCGUCGACUGGACAGGACCCGUGGGGCCGGAGCAAGAACACUCGGAAAAAGUUUGGACUAUCCACUACGAUGGCGCAUGGUGCCACGCGGGGCAGGCGCCGCGGCGAUUAUCACAUCACCCGCCGGUGUAUAGUAUAGAUACGCCGCGCGCCUCAGCUUUGCCCUAGAGUCCGACAGGUGCACUAACAACAUAGCAGAAUACGAAGUCGUCAUCCUAGGUCUUCGCAAACUAUGAGCCCUCGGCGUCACCACAUCCAUCAUCUGAACAGAUUCCAAGGUCGUCGCUGGUCAAAUCGAAAAGGAGUACUUAGCAAAGGAACCUAUGCUGAUGCAAUAUCUCACCGCCGUCCAUGGCCUCGAAAAACAAUUCAAGGGUUUCACCCUGCAGCAUGUCGAGCGCAACUAGAACGAAGAGGCUGAUGCGUUGGCCAAGGCAGCAGCCAAGGGCAAGGCCCUGCCCUCUGACGUGUUCUACCAUGUCAUCGGCACACCAGUCAUCCGUAACCCCGAAGGCUUGCAAAUAACUCAAGACACCGAUGGCCACCGAAUCAUCAACCUCAUAAUGGUCGAAGACUGGUGGGCCCCAAUAACAUUAUACCUCCAGGGCCAUUACCAUCCAACCGAUCACAACGAGGCCAAACGACUGAAACACAGGAGCAGGGAUUUUGCAAUAGUCGAGGGCCAGCUUUACAAAAAGGGUAUCAGUCAGGCUAUGCUAAAAUGCAUAACCGAAAUCAAAGGCCUAGAGAUCCUUCGCGAAGUCCACGGCGGAACCUGCGGGUCACACUCAGGGUCCAGUGCCCUCGCAGCCAAGGUGAUUCGUCAGGGAUUUUACUGGCCCGCGAUAAUAUGCACGACCAACCGAGUCACCUGGUCAUGCGAAGCAUGCUAAAAAUUCUCUCCUAGCUCAGGCGCCCCUUCACAAUUCACCAAGCUCAUCGCCCACACCUGGCCACUUCAACGAUGGGGGUUGUGUGACACCCCAGUGUCACCUAGGGUUUCUCUUGUAAAAGCCCAACCAAGAACCAUUAUUUCAUGUAAAUCCAAGUAAGCAUGAGCAUCAAAUUAACUUAAGUAAUAAAGAAUUCACCAAGUAUAUACUUAAAAGUGUCAUGAUCAAAACAAAUGAGUCUUUGAAAAGAUAAGAAUAUGCAACCCUAAUUAAGAACUCUAAGUGAACCCCAUGAGCAAAAUUCAAAAGAAUAAGCAAAAGGGAAUGAAAAGUUUAAAAUUUUGAGUUGAGCCAAUUAUAUAAGUUAAAGUAUAUUUUAUAAGCAACAAGAAAGAUUGAGAAAGCUUAGCCAAAAUAAUUCAAGAAAACCCCCAAAUCAAACUUCUUUUGUUGGGACACAUUGGGAAUUCUGAAUUUCAGAAUUCUGAAAUUCAGACCUUGAGCCAAAGAUCAGGGAUGUUCACCUUGAUCCCUAACUCGAAUCCUAAUGGCCCCAUUGACAAAAUUGUGUCUAACUAAACCCUCUGUCGUGUGCCAGAAGAUGGCAUUGGGACGCGAGCCCUAGACACGACAAAACCUUGGAUUUGCCUCGGGUUUAGGCAGGGAGACAGACCAGAUUUCCUGGCUCCAUAUCUCUGCAACCAGUAGGCAAAAUCCUAUGACCUCCACACAAGAAUGGUAGCUUGUAGGGAGGAGAAGAGGUUUCGUGCACUGACCAAGGCGAGAGCAGGCUCGGAUGAGCGACCACACGCGCCAGAGCUUGGGCAGAACGCACGGGCACACGUGUUCGACCCUGGUCGGCACGCCAGAGCUCGCCCAACCCGCGCGCGCGCUCGCCCCGGCGUCCGGUCAAGUCCGCCGCGCGCCCACGCCCUCGGCCGUGCCCGCCCGUGCCUAUAAAGCCUCCCCGGGCGCACCUCUCUUCGCCCCGCACUCACCCUCACCGGCCAGCCACCGUUCCUUAGCUCCGGCGAGCGUAUUUCCGCCCGCCAUUGCCGCCAGAGCUACGGCCGCCGUGGCCAGCCCACUCCAGCCACCCUCAAGCCCAACCUGUGCUUCGGCUAGCUCCGCCAGUAGCCCGUGAAGCUCGCCAAGCCCUCGGACCCGACCGGACUUCACCGGAGGCCCGAGAUCGACCUCACCGGACUUCGGUCUUCCGCCGCCGCGCGUGGACCGAGCUAUCCAGUGAGUCUCCGCCCAAUUCCUUUCGCUCAUGUCUUCUCUGGCAUCCCGUAGACCUCUCUGACCUAUUCAAUUGAACUAUCUCGCCGUGACCAGGCCGGUCUCCUCGCCGCCGACGAGCAUCCCCGCCUGCGCGCGUGGACCGACCAACUCCGGCCAUCUCCGACGGCGUUCCGCACACCGUUGUGAUCCCCGCGACCUCCCCUUCGUCCUCAACCACUUCACCGGAACAGUCUCGCCGCCGGUAAGCCCCUCCGCCCUUUUCUUCGCCGCGGCUACUGUUUAAGGUAGAAGAAGGACCUCGGGUUAGGUUUUGUAGAACCCGAGGGGUUUUCUAUAAUGUCAGCGACCCAUGUGAAUAGUAACCUAAGGACUGAUUCGCGUAGAAAACUUAGAAAAACCGCCAGGGACCCCAGUGCAAAGUGGUUUUCCAUUUAAUCAAUUCUGUUAUUCUUUUAAAAUAACCAGAGAACUUAGAAAAUCCAUAACUUGAUGAAAUCUUAAUGAAAAGUUGUCAAACCAAUUUUGCUAGCUCUGGAAUAUUAUGAUCUAUCAUUUAAAAAUAGUGAACCAUAUGCUUUCUGUUCUAAAUUUUAGAGUUUAAAAUUAAAAACAGAAACCCCCUAAACCUUGUUUAAUUAAGGAAAAUUAGUUUUUCUUCUGUACUGAGCUUAAGAAAAUUUGUAGAUGCUUAUACCCUAAUUAGACAUUGUUUAAAAAUAGUAGGAUCCCCAGCAUUAGAGAUUAUGAUGUAGUUAUUCAUUUAAAGCCAUUUUGUCCACAACUUAGAGAAAAUCAGAAAAGCAUUAGGAAUUAUUGAACAGUGAUUAAGAUUAUUUUUCCUAGUUUACUUAUGUAACAGAGAACCUAGGAAAAAUACAGAGACCAUUAAUUUGGACCAGUUUUAAAUUAAAAUGAUUUGUUUAGCCUUAUAUGGACUGAAAACCAAUUAUUAGAGUUGCAAAACUAUAACCAAAGUGGUUAACAAAAAUCCAGUGAACUUAUAACCACCAGAGCCCCACUACAAAAAUACAAAACACCCCAGCCUAACUUUUUAAGUAGGGAAAAUAAAUACAGAAGGAUAAUAAGGCAUUUUUCCAAUAAAUCAUAAGCAACCCCUUUUUAUGAGAUAAUGGGCAACCAAAAAUUAGCUAAGUCCAUGAUGAGAUAAACCACCAGAGAAAAAUGCAAACCCAUGAAAAAGAAGUGAACCCAUACCUUUUGCUAGUAAUUUGUGAGAAAGGCCAUUUAGCUCAAAUAAUGCAUACCACCCCUUCCCUUAAGCAAAAAGAAGCCAAACUCCAGAAUGAUUGCUCUUGCACAAAAUACUAGCUAAGAAAAAUAAGAACUCUGUUGUUUGAUGUUUUUCAAGUAUAGUAGUAGUAGAAAGCACCCCUUUGGCUAGAAACCUUAAGAAAACCAUAGGAAAAGAAUUAAAGGGUAUUAAUGACUAGAAAUUUGUAUCAAGUCAUGUUAUAACACCUAAAAGCCAGCAAAAAUAAGUUUUAAAGAAUUACCCACUGUUAAAUAAUAGUUGUAGUUCAAAGUACCCCUUCUGCCCUAAAAUUUGGUAAUUUUGUCCAGAGAAAACCAUUUACUUUCUGAACCCCAAAUUUUGAGACAGAGAAUCAUACACCAGUAACAAGCUACUGUAAUUUUUGCAGAAUUUUUGGAAUUUUAUAAAAGCAACUUGUAGUUCAAACCUACUCCAAAACAUUAAAGAGAAUAAAAGAAAAGAGAAGAAGGAAUAAACCUCAUCCCAUUAAAACUAACCCAAUUUACCAAGUAUGCCACUAAAAGGUUUUACAUAAGUAAGGUUAACCUGUUUAAAUUCAAAAAGACCAUACAUCUUCAAAGUUGUAAAUUCUAAAGCACAUAUCCUAUCAUGCAUAUAUCUUACGCAUUGCAUUCAUUAGAUUGUAAUCUUGCCGACGGAGAGUACGUGCUCAUUCCCGAGCAAGGAUCUGUCCAAGAGGAGGACCAGGAGCAGGCUUCAGAGGCUGCUAUUGAGGAUCUCCCCGCAGCCCCAGCAAUUGAAGGCAAGCCCCGGUUUUAUACAUAACCAUGUUAUUAUAUGCUACUUUACUACACUUAAUGCUUGUAGGACUGUAAUGUGCACUUAAGUGUAGGAGUUGCUUGAAACCUCUAGUUGCAUGAACUUAGGACUCCUUUUUGAGAUGAAUACUAGUAUGCUAGGUCGAGUAGCUGCUUGCUAAUCAGGAUCUCGGUAGAAGUCGAGUGAUUUUUCUAGCACUCGCGCGAGGUCAGGAAUUGAUUGUAUUCAUCUUGAUAAUGGGAUAUAUGUUGGUCUAUGGACUUGGAUCCAGGGAGGAUGCCUUGUCCAGGAGACGGGAAAAUGAAUUAAGGAUUAAUGUGUGGAUACCUGAGUCAAGCUUUUGAACGUACUAAGCACAUGCCGGGAAAAAUGGUAACCGGUAAACCUAGUACCUGAUUGAAGCCGGGCGCGGACUUUAUCCCUCAUGCGACCUGAGACAGGGUCUCCCAUGCUAGCUAUGGUGGGUACAAGUGCGGUCACUGCACGGCGGCAGCCGGGGUCAGUGGAGCAUUGUAUGGCAAGGCGGUGAGGCCUGGACGCGAACGGGGAAUCGAUGGGGACGGUUGUCUUGUGUGGGGUCGGAGUACCCUGACUUGACGUGUGUUUAGGUUUACCUUGCAAGGUUAAAACUCGAUUCGAAUCGUCUGCUUCUCGCAGCUAAUGAGACUGCUUGAUUCCUUGUACUGCAUCGAGUAAGAAGUGAAAUGUGGAUUAUGAGAUAACUUGUUGGUUGAACUAAUUGAUUGUUACCAUGUAUGCUUAGAAGGAGCAAAUCUAGCUAAGUCAAUGAUGGUAGAAUUUGAAAAGCUAAAAGUUGAUUUUAGAAACAGCUAGUGCUUUUGGCAAACCAAACCCCUCAGCCAAACAGCCGCAUAGUCUAGAGGUAGAGGAGUAGACUCCUCACACCGGUUAAGUCUAGCUGAGUAUUAGUAUACUCAGCCUUGCUUGUGGCACCAUUUUUGCAGGUACCAUGCAGGAUGUAGUUGAUGGUGUGACUUGGCCUACCACCCUGCCACCGGGUUGGACGGUCGAGUGGGAUGUUGCUCCGGCAGGAGAGGAGCAUGAGGAGUAGUGGGCUAGGCCUUGCCCAUUCCCUCGUUACCGACGACAUCGAUUAUCCGCUGCACUUUAAUUUGUGAACUUUAUUUGCUACUCCAAAAACCCCGAUUUAUGUAAUAACUCCGUACUAAAUUUGAGGUUUCCUGUUUUAUUGUAUUUCUUCUGUGACUCACCUUCGAGUGAGAUUGUGGAAUUUGAUCCUGGUUAAGUGGCUCUAUCAGACUAGAUCUGAGGGACUGACGGGUUAUUCCGAUUUAAGUAUGUUACGGCCCCUGAGGCGUGACUUAGGCACUUAAGCUGGAAUAAUUCGGGUGGUUCUGCCACAGCUGGUAUCGGAGCAAAUUCCACCACAGAAAAGGACAAUAAACCACGAAUACCAAUUUUUAAAACCUAAAACUUGCCUAGAAACUGUUACGGAUCGUCAGGACUAGACCGCUAGACUUAGGACGAAAGGCCUUAGGCAUAGAGGGGGAAAUAGGUGGCUAAUUAAUUAGGCCCUGUGGGCCAAUACUUAUAUUUAGGAUGCCCAAAAAGGCACCCUAUUUUCCUUUUGAGAGGCAACGUUUCUUUCCGCAUGCAUGCAUUAUAAAACACAAAGAGGAAUUAAAAUUUGAGCUAACCCCUUUUCUUUAAAAUCAUCCGGGCUCUCUUUUUCUUUUUCCUCCACCAUAAUCUUUAUCUUGAUUCCCUUCCGCAGAUGAAUUCACCCACCCCCGCCAGUGGAGGAGACUCUCGUUUCAGUUCUGACUUCCUUUCUCGCGAUGGCUUUCCUUCCAUCUUGUGGGAAGUGCUUAACUCCGCCGGUUACCCUACGCCCCCUUUGUACACGGUGCAGUUGUAUGAGGAGCAUCGGGUACCUCGUUGUCGGGUCUGGCUAACUUUGGAGGCUCAUCCCCUUCAGCCGGGUUGGCGUUCUCUUGACUCUGAGACGAUUGGACUCAGGACGGACGACACCGUUGAGGCAGCAGCCAUGAAGACUCUGACGACUUUCUGUGGCUACCAUCCCCUGGAGAUGGUGAUGCACCCCUUGGGACUCUUCCCUGCUGAGAAGAAGGAUGAUCCCAUGUGGUGUAACCGCGUGAGCCAUGUGAAGGAUGUGUGGGCAAUGUAUCCUGACUUGGUUGGGAGGGUCACUGUUCAGUGCAUGAGUGCGCUGUACCGCCUUCAGGCCCUUCAGACGAUGCUAUGACACUUCUUGCUAACACCGCUCAGACUGCCAAGCUCACUCUCGACAGUCGGGAAGAUUUUGUGGUCGACUUAUCCACAGAGUUGGUGGAGAAGGAUCUGCAGGUGGAAAGGCUGAACCAGCGUAUUACCACCCUGGAGCAGCAAGUGGAGAUCCGAGAUAACACUAUUGAUGUCUUGGAGAACCAGCUCCACGACGUGCAGAGGGAACUUGAGGAAGCCAAUGACCACUUGGACAUGCACCACCUGGAGAUGGAGGCCAAUGAAGCAGGAAGCGAGGGAGAAGAGCUCCCGAGGAGCUAGGACCAGCCCCUGGUGCUAAUGGGACUACCUCCGCGAUACCUCCUUCACCCGUAUCCAGUGUCGCUUCCACCGCCCAGGGUUAAGCAGUAGCUUUGACAUUUCUUUAGGCGGAUAGAAACCUAUGCGAGCUUAGUAGUAUCACAUUUGGACUAGGCUUAUGGGUACUUUCCCCUGAUUAAUGUAACCCUGUAAACUUUUGAUAUCUGUGGGAUCCUUGUCACCAUGCUAUCUUCACUUUCGAACCUAAUAUUAUGAUUAUGGCAUUUUCCUUCCAUAUGAGAUGAUAUCUUGUCAUUCGGAAAUGUGAGUUGGAUAACAAUGGCGACAAUCUCUGUUUUCAGAUGGCAGCGAGGCAGCGUCGCGGGCAGAAUGAGCAAGCUCCCCCGCCACCUCCUCCAGCUCCCACAGUGCAGGAGCUGAUGCCCAGCAGAAUGAGAUUCUGCGACAGCUCUUGCAGCGCCAGCCCCACCAACAUCAUCAUGGUGGAGGCCAGCAUCAGCGACCUCCGGCUAUGGCAACAUACCAGGAGUUUCUGAGCACGCAGCCGCCCUUGUUCACCAAGGCAGAGGAUCCGUUGGACGCCGACGUGUGGCUUCGCGUCGUCGAGUCCAAGUUUCCCCUCCUCACGGGAGACUGCCCUGAUGAGGCCAAGGCUCGCUUCGCCGCACAGCAGCUUCGCGGCCCAGCUCGGACUUGGUGGGACCACUUCCGUGCUAUGCUCCCCGCUGAUCAUGAAGUAUCUUGGGAGGAAUUCAAGACUGCCUUCAGAGGACACCACAUUCCAGCUGGCAUUCUUGAUCGGAAGUUGAAUGAAUUCUUGGCCCUCAAUCAAGGAACCCGCACGGUACUGCAGUAUGCGCAAGCCUUCAACGACUUAUGCCAGUAUGCAGGGUAUCAUGCUGAUUCUGAUGAAAAGAAGAGGGAUCGCUUCCGCAGGGGUCUCAAUACCAAGCUGCGGGAACGACUCAACACUGUCCGGGCCGAUAGCUUCAAUGAGUUGGUCAAUAUGGCCAUCUCCCAGGAGGAUUGCAUUGUUGCUCACCGGGCAGAGAAGAAGAGGAAGGCACCAAUGGCAGCACCAUCCGCUCAGGCUCAGAGGUUCUGGAUUGUUUCUCACAAUCAGAGCAGGGGUUUCAGCAGCAGGCAGGCAGAUGGGUGAUCAGGCCACCUCAGCAGCAGCAGCAGCCGGCACCCAACCGCUAUCCAGCUCCCGCCCAAGAACAAUCAGCCUCAGCAGCAGCAGCAGUUCCGCCAGGGCAAUGGGAACAAGUGUUUCACUUGUGGCAAUGUGGGCCACUAUGCCAAGAAUUGUCCCAGGAACCAGCAGAGGCAGAUGCCAGCACCAAAUCAAGACAAAGGAAGAAAGCAGAAGUGCAAGUCAGGCAAGGGAAGCUCAACUUCACUGCUCUAGAGGAAGUGCCAGAAGGAGCUCCUAUCAUGACCGGUACCUUUUCAGUUUAUAAUCAACCUGCUUUAAUUCUGUUUGAUUCUGGUGCAUCUCAUAGUUUCAUUAGCCAAAAGUUCAGUGCUAAUUGCAAACUGCCUUUCUCUCACUCAAAAAGGGUCAUUCAUGAUAGUCACACCUGGGGGUAAAAUUGCAACUAAUCAAUUAAACCAAAGUGUGCCUAUUCAACUGGGAAGCCACAUUGUCAAAACCACUCUUCUUGUAUUGGGAUUGGAAAAUGUGGACAUUAUUCUAGGAGCAAAUUGGAUGACCUUGCACCAAGUUGUGCUUGACGUAGCCAGUCGUACCGUGGAAGUUAAUUCUCCUUUCUGCGGGAAUUUCACUUUGAUUCUGCCUAGUCAGGUUCUUCUCAGUCAUGUGCCUUCUCUAUGACGGAGUUACCCCUGAAGAAGAUCCCAGUGGUCUGUGAGUAUGCAGAUGUCUUUCCUGAUGAAUUGCCUGGAAUGCCACCGGACCGGAUAUUGAAUUCGCCAUCGAGUUGCAACCGGGAACGGCCCCAAUUUCCAAGAGGCCCUACCGAAUGCCACCCGCUGAGUUGGCAGAGUUGAAGAAGCAGUUGCAAGAGUUGCUGGACAAGGGAUUUAUUCGCCCAAGCACUUCGCCUUGGGGAUGUCCAGCACUGUUUUGAAGAAGAAGGAUGAAAGCUUGAGGCUGUGUAUAGAUUACCGCCCUCUUAAUGCGGUAACUAUCAAGAACAAGUAUCCUUUGCCUCGUAUUGAUGUUCUCUUUGACAAUGGUCGGGCUAAGGUGUUUUCCAAGAUAGACCUUCGCUCUGGCUACCAUCAGAUCAAAAUACGAGCAAGUGAUAUUCCGAAGACGGCAUUCUCAACCAGAUAUGGCUGUAUGAAUUCUUGGUGAUGUCAUUCGGGCUGACAAAUGCACCAGCAUACUUCAUGUAUCUAAUGAAUUCUGUUUUCAUGCCGAAUUGGAUAAGUUCGUGGUGGUUUUCAUCGAUGAUAUCUGGUGUACUCAAAGAACGAAGAAGAACAUGCCGAGCAUUUGCAUGUAGUGCUUCAACGUCUGCGAGAGCACCACCUUUAUGCCAAGUAUCCAAGUGUGAUUUUGGCUAAAGGAAAUCAAAUUCUUGGGUCACACUAUCUCUCAGGAUGGAAUAGCUGUUGAUCCUGAUAAAGUGCAAGAGGUGAUGAACUGGAGGCCACCAACGACUGUUCGCCAGAUUCGGAGUUUUCUGGAUUGGCCGGUAUUUACCGAAAUUUAUUCCGGACUUCUCUCCGAAUUGCGAAGCCUAUUACUGAGUUGCUGAAGAAAGAAGUCAAGUUGGUGGAGUCAGAAGUGCGAAGAUGCCUUCCAUGCGUUGAGGCAGCAUCUGACCACCGCACCAGUAUUGGCGCAACCCGACAGCAGCAAGCCUUUUGAUGUAUAUUGCGAUGCCUCUGGCACCGGGCUAGGUUGUGUCUUGAUGCAAGACAACCGAGUCAUUGCUUAUGCCUCAAGGCACUCAGGCCUCAUGAGCAAAAUUAUCCCACUCAUGACCUUGAGUUAGCAGCAGUGGUUCAUGCAUUGAAGAUGUGGAGGCACUAUCUGAUGGGAACCACUGCAACAUCUUCACUGAUCAUAAGAGCCUUAAGUACAUUUUUACUCAGGCUGAUCUCAACAUGAGGCAGAGAAGAUGGCUAGAGCUGAUCAAGGAUUAUGACCUGGAGGUACAUUAUCACCCAGGCAAAGCAAUGUGGUAGCUGAUGCCUUGAGUCGGAAGUUGCAAUGCAACUGUAUUUCUGAUGGAUUCUCAUGUUAACACCUUGUGUGAUGAUUGAGCAAGAUGCAAAUUGAAGUGAUUCCUUCUGGUUCUUUGUCUCACAUUUCUGUUUGAGCCAGCUUUGCAAGACCAGAUCAUCAUGCCCAGCUCAGUGACAAGGGAGUGCAGAUUAUCAAGAAGAAUCUCCAUCAGAAGGUGAAAGUAUAAUUGUUUCCGCCAGGAUGAGAAGGGUGUGUUAUGGUUCAAAGCAGAUUGGUAAUCCUAGGACCAGGAUCUCAAGAAGAAAAUUUGGAUGAGGCUCAUCUCUCCAAUUCUCUAUGCAUCCGGGAAGCACAAGAAUGUACCAUGAUUUGAACUUUUAUACUGGUGGACCAGAAUGAAGAGGAAAUAGCCCAGUAUGUAUCAGAAUGUGACACCUGUCAGAGGGUUUAAGGCAAGCCACUUGAAGUCCGCUGGAGCCUGCGACCACUGUNNNNNNNNNNNNNNNNNNNNNNNNNNNNNNNNNNNNNNNNNNNNNNNNNNNNNNNNNNNNNNNNNNNNNNNNNNNNNNNNNNNNNNNNNNNNNNNNNNNNUCUAAACGAUCACCAUUAUUGUAACUUAACUAAAAUGCCUUUAUAAAACACAGAUUAAUCACAAUAAUUUUAUGUCAUAAUUAAUCAUUGGAACCCACUAAAGACCUAGAUACUUUGAAACUCAAAUAUGAUUAUAGAAUCUUACUUUGUAAAAAACUCAUUGUUGGCCACUUGUUCUCAAAUGCUGUGAGUCAAGAACAAGGCAACACAAUUGUUAAUCAUUAAGGACCUUCGUCCUUUGAAGCAUUAUUCCCUUGCGGGUUUAAUGCCUCUCAGACGAAGGUCAAGAAGGACAUACCUUCAUCAUAUCAAUACAAGAUAAGAAUACGAAGGAAUAAGUAUGAUAAUUAUAUCUUAAUAGUUCAUUUAUUCUUGCAUCCCAUAAAACAUAUAUUAAUACCAACAAUGUUAAUAUUACAUUGAUACCUUCGGCCUGCUCGAAGGUGAGGAUGCGAGAGAGUGAAUACAAUCCAGCGUGAACCGUACGGUGUUACUGUUCAUCUAUUUAUAGGCACGGGACUUAGCCCGAGCAAAAGUACAUUUAUGUCCUCAAUGUUUACACACCAUCGUAAUACAAGUUAUAAAGGACUAAGUAGUCGUUUUCCCCUUCGAUCAUCAUCAUUAUUCCUCCGCUUCGUUGUGAGCCGAAGCUCUUCCGUUUGAUGAUAGCUUCGGCUUUCUUUGGAUCUAUCUUCAUCUUUUGUGUCUUCGUCAUAAGGAAGAUGCUUAUAUCCUGAAGACAAAGCUUCCUGUAAUAGCUUAUGCUGAAGACAAAUGGUUAAUUAUGUUUUUGAGGACCUUCGGAAGGAGAAGGCCCCAACAGUAGCCCUUGUAGUUUGAUUUUGUUCCUUUGUAACAAAUUUAGACUACAACAUGAACGAAGGCCUUCAGCCGAAGGUCCAAAAAACACCUUCCCUUCGCUAGAAUAGUGAAUGACACUGACCUAUGGGACCCACCUACUUAUGGGGCUCUGGACAUAUAAAUAGGAGCUUGCAUUGUAAGCAUUUUUGUGCCAUUUCAUCUGCUUGCAUUGCACUUGUCUUUUUUAACUUACUUGUUUUGUUGAGUUUGAUUGAAUUUUAACCUUCGGUAUUUCAACAACCAUCGACUAAUGGCUGAUGAGAAGAAGGUUGUUGAUCCGGCGAUGUCCGAUUUAUGAAGCUAUGGAGAAAACCAACGCAGAGAAGAUUGCACAUGAAAUGCUAGCUGGGAUAUCUGAGGGUUCCAGUGAUAGUGAAAGUUUUGAUGUAGAAAGUGGGAAUGAAGAUGGCGAAGAUCGGCCCAAGAGACCAAGCCAUGUUGUCUUUGGGAAAACAACUAUUAAGCAAGGGCAAAUUGAUGCAAUGAAGGGAGGUACUUUCGUGAUAUCUCAAUUGUGAGGUGGAGGGGAAAAUAAUGUCCCUUUUCCUGAAGCUAACGAAGUAGUAGUUUAUAGAAGCUUCAUGAAGGCAGGGCUUCGGUUCCCUUUGGAUAAAUUACUAGUCGAAGUCCUAAGACCUUCGAAAUUUACCUUCAUCAACUUACUCCCGAAGCUGUCACUAAGGUGGGGAUGUUUAUACGGGCCAUGAGGAGCCAGGGACUAGAACCAAAUGCAAAAUGUUUCUGUAACAUCCAUGAGCUAUCUUAUGAGACGAAGACUACCGGAAAGAAGCAAUAUCACAACAACUUUGGUUGCUACAACUUCGUGCCUCGCUCUGAGGUGAGCUACCUAGUUCCGACAUUUUUGAAGAGAUGGCCGGGGCCUGGAUGCAGGAUGGUUCUACGUGAAGAAUGACCUGGCUAAAAGGAGGAUAUUAAGGGGAUUAUUCAACGUCCUAUAUGGUCUCGCUUCGGCAUUAGGAGGGCCAUCCACUGCCCUUGGGAAUGAUAUAGAAGCAUGCCAGAUUGCCUUCAAUGCAGUAUGUACUUACAUAGGCACAAGGGACUUAAUCCAGGAGAACAUUGCUUAUAGGGUGUGGCCACUUGCAAAUGGGUGGGAGAUGCCGAAGGAGGCUACUGCCUGGUCCAGCCAAGGCGGUUUAGUUUACCUGAAGUAUACCUUCAGGUACAGGAGCCAAUUCGAUGAGCCGAAUGAUGACUGGCUGGAUGCCAUUGAAGCAACUAGUGAUGAAUUGCUUGGAGCAUAUAUGAAGGCUGAGGAUGACGCCAUGACGACUGCCUUCGGACUCGUGUCAAGAAGAGGUUGAACAGGGUGUUUGAUGUUAUUGGAUUUCUAUAUCCAGAUUAUUGUUAUCCUUCAUGAAAAGCAAGGAAAGAAAAGAAAGACAGCUGCUUUAGUGACUUCCAGCGUGCCAAGUCAAAAAAGGUUAAAGUUUUGACACACCAACCUAGGUGCAUUGAGACGGUCGAAGUGCCGAAACUAAUUGAAGGGUCUACUUCUAUAUCUGAGCCAAGUCGCUCUGUGCCUGCCAAAGCUAAGUUAAGCCCGGCUGAAGAGCCAAAACUGAAGAAGGCGGCAGAGCAGCCGAAGGCCUUGAGUCCAGCGCGCGAAACAGAAUUAUCGAAGGCAUCAAGGAUCCUUGCAGCAAUCCCUGCAGCGACUAUGAAGAAGAGGAGAAUGGCUAGCGUGCUGGACGCUAUCAUGGAAUCGGUAAAGGCAUCAACUCCUGCUUUUUGCUCGAGCGCCUAGUGCAGAAGGCGAAAUUUUAAAGGGACCUGUCGAAGCUGGUAUAACGCAAGCUGUUUCUGAAGCUGGACCUUCAAUGUUUGCCGAGGCAAACCUUCAGAAGCUGCACCACUAGUCUUGGAAAAAGAAGGUGCAUCUGAGAAAUCAAAGUCUCCUGCCCCCGGAGCAUCUGUCGAAGAAUUAGAGUUCAUUGUGCGACAUGCUUCGGGGAAGCAAUUGUCGGAGGGACAGAUUGCCGAAGCUAGACAAUAUGCAAGGAUCUAAAGUACCCUCAAGGGUCCUUGGUAUACAAUGGCAAUGACGAGGAUGGUUUCCUUUAUUGUUUGCCAGACAAUAAAGAGAUUUCCGGUCUGCCGAGAAAUGAUGAGAAAUAUGGGGUACCCAAAGCUUGAACUCGGCCUGUCUGCGAUGUCGAAUGGAUGACCUUGCAGACAACCUGGCUUACAAUAGCUUGAAGGUAUAUAUACUUUUGUUGUAAAAUAAACUAUGUUUGUAGGUUUUCUUGCUUUCGUUAUGUUCUCACAUAUAUUUUUGUUAUUAGGGCUUAAUUCUAAGUAAGGAUUUAAGGGUUCAAAAGGAAGCAGACGACGAGAGUUGUCAGAUAGCUCUUGGGAAUCUUCGGUUUAGAUGUCAUCACACUAAGGAAUGAAGCUCUCGAGAAAUAUAAAAUAUUGUUUUCCUUAGUGGAAAGACUGAAAGCUAGCGAAGUCAAGCUUAGUGCGCAACCGAAGCCCAUAAAGCUAAAGUCGAAGGUUUGAGAAAAAGCUUGCAGAAAUGAAUGAAAAUUUUGAAGUUGCAAAGGCGAAGCAGGAAAUAAGUGAAAUGGAAAGAUCAAGGGUGCAAAAGAAUGUUGAAGAGCUUCAGGAUUCCAAGAAAAGAUGUUACGAAACAUCCUUGGAAUGCGCCAGGAAGCUAAAAAAUAGUUUUGCAAAGGUGGGAGCAUUACUCUUCGGAGCAGAAGUUUAUUCGCGGUGAUCCGAAGGGGUUAUCCAGUGGAUCGGCGAAGAGGCCAAAGCUUUUGAUGAAAUACUCAGCGAUCAUGGGGAUUUCUGCGCUUUCGCCGGUGCACGAGGGGCCGCGACAAUUUUAGAGAACGUCGGUUCUGAGCAUGUUAAGGCCGCAGCCAAACCGGAAUCUAUUUUCUCAGCAGAUGACACCAAGGACCCCUCGGCCGAAGCUUCUUUGCUAGGCGGGAGGUUUUACUCUGAUGUUUGGAUGAAGGGCGGUCGUGAGAUGGCUGAUGAAGCCAUAAAAAGAAUGAGAAAGAAUCUCAGGACGCCCGAGAAGAGGCUAAACGAGCUGAAGAAGCUGCUGAACGCGCCAGAUUAUAGGUACUUUUAUUAAGGUUUUGCUUCGUUGUUCGUUUCUAGCUUCGAAAUUAACCAACAUUUUCUUUAUUGCAGCUGACCUUUCACCACCACCGGAGUCGUAUAAUCCCGAAGCCGACCUGACCCUGAAAGAAGCUUUGGAUAUAAUGAAGAUUGCUAACGAAGUCGUUGACGAAGUCGUCGACAGACUAUUACACGAGGCUACUGAAAAAGUGCUAAAGGAAGAUUAAAUUUUUGUAUGCUUAAAAAUGUAAUGCUUGUAUAUAGCUGUCGUCUUGUGUAAGAAACAAACAUCAAGUAUUUGUAUGUACAUUAAUGUAAUAUAUCUCUUUGCGAUGCAUGAACCUUUGUACAUACCAUUUUUGAGCCUUUGGCGAAACACCUUCCCUUUUUUCAUGUUUCGCAAAGAAAAGGAAUUUUCUUAUGCACUAUUGACGAAGGUUAGCUCAUGUAGUUCAAUACAUCUGCCGAAGGCACGUCUUGUGGUGUAACAUUCCUUUUCAUAAUCCCGGUCGAUUUUUUAGAGAGAGCAGCUUUUCUUUGUUUCUCCAGAUCUUUUUAGCGAUGUGAGAUGAUGUAUGAUGUGAUGCUAUGUAAUAUUAUAUGAUGGUAUGAUGCAAAAUGAUGUUAAUACCGAAGGUAAGAACCCACGCGAAUACACACCCAGACUCUGCAUCCCCUUAGGAACGUCUUUGGAGUCUCUUCACCUUUUACAUAGGUGGUAUUUCAGCUCUGCAUCCCCUUAGGAAUGACUUUGGAGCUAAGCUCUGCAUCUGAUGCACCUAGCCCAGGUGGGUUGGCCGAGGCCCAACAA